rnacentral:rRNA from 1 species
AGAGUUUGAUCCUGGCUCAGGACGAACGCUGGCGGCGCGCCUAACACAUGCAAGUCGAACGGAGCUUAGAGAGCUUGCUUUUUAAGCUUAGUGGCGAACGGGUGAGUAACGCGUGAGUAACCUGCCCUAGAGUGGGGGACAACAGUUGGAAACGACUGCUAAUACCGCAUAAGCCCACGGUACCGCAUGGUACUGAGGGAAAAGGAUUUAUUCGCUUUAGGAUGGACUCGCGUCCAAUUAGCUAGUUGGUGAGGUAACGGCCCACCAAGGCGACGAUUGGUAGCCGGACUGAGAGGUUGAACGGCCACAUUGGGACUGAGACACGGCCCAGACUCCUACGGGAGGCAGCAGUGGGGAAUAUUGCACAAUGGGGGAAACCCUGAUGCAGCGACGCCGCGUGGAGGAAGAAGGUUUUCGGAUUGUAAACUCCUGUCGUUAGGGACGAUAAUGACGGUACCUAACAAGAAAGCACCGGCUAACUACGUGCCAGCAGCCGCGGUAAAACGUAGGGUGCAAGCGUUGUCCGGAAUUACUGGGUGUAAAGGGAGCGCAGGCGGGAAGACAAGUUGGAAGUGAAAACCAUGGGCUCAACCCAUGAAUUGCUUUCAAAACUGUUUUUCUUGAGUAGUGCAGAGGUAGAUGGAAUUCCCGGUGUAGCGGUGGAAUGCGUAGAUAUCGGGAGGAACACCAGUGGCGAAGGCGGUCUACUGGGCACCAACUGACGCUGAGGCUCGAAAGCAUGGGUAGCAAACAGGAUUAGAUACCCUGGUAGUCCAUGCCGUAAACGAUGAUUACUAGGUGUUGGGGGAUUGACCCCCUCAGUGCCGCAGUUAACACAAUAAGUAAUCCACCUGGGGAGUACGACCGCAAGGUUGAAACUCAAAGGAAUUGACGGGGGCCCGCACAAGCAGUGGAGUAUGUGGUUUAAUUCGAAGCAACGCGAAGAACCUUACCAGGUCUUGACAUCCAACUAACGAAGUAGAGAUACAUUAGGUGCCCUUCGGGGAAAGUUGAGACAGGUGGUGCAUGGUUGUCGUCAGCUCGUGUCGUGAGAUGUUGGGUUAAGU